rnacentral:rRNA from 1 species
UACGGGGGGGGCAAGCGUUGUUCGGAAUUACUGGGCGGAAAGGGCUUGUAGGUGGCCAACUAAGUCAGACGUGAAAUCCCUCGGCUUAACCGGGGAACUGCGUCUGAUACUGGAUGGCUUGAGUGUGGGAGAGGGAUGCGGAAUUCCAGGUGUAGCGGUGAAAUGCGUAGAUAUCUGGAGGAACACCGGUGGCGAAGGCGGCAUUCUGGACCGACAUUGACGCUGAGGAGCGAAAGCCAGGGGAGCAAACGGG